GGAUGACCAGCCACACUGGAACUGAGACACGGUCCAGACUCCUACGGGAGGCAGCAGUGGGGAAUAUUGCACAAUGGGCGCAAGCCUGAUGCAGCCAUGCCGCGUGUAUGAAGAAGGCCUUAGGGUUGUAAAGUACUUUCAGCGGGGAGGAAGGUGUUGUGGUUAAUAACCGCAGCAAUUGACGUUACCCGCAGAAGAAGCACCGGCUAACUCCGUGCCAGCAGCCGCGGUAAUACGGAGGGU
rnacentral:rRNA from 1 species